rnacentral:rRNA from 1 species
UACGGGGGGGGCAAGCGUUGUUCGGAAUUACUGGGCGUAAAGGGCUCGUAGGCGGCCAACUAAGUCGGAUGUGAAAUCCCCAGGCUCAACUUGGGAACUGCAUCCGAUACUGGAUGGCUUGAAUUCGGGAGAGGGAUGCAGAAUUCCAGGUGUAGCGGUGAAAUGCGUAGAUAUCUGGAGGAAUACCGGUGGCGAAGGCGGGUCUCUGGGCCAUUACUGACGCUGAGGAGCGAAAGCGUGGGGAGCGAACAGG